rnacentral:rRNA from 1 species
UACAGAGGUCCCAAGCGUUGUUCGGAUUCACUGGGCGUAAAGGGUGCGUAGGUGGUGAGGUAAGUCGGAUGUGAAAUCUCCGAGCUCAACUCGGAAAUUGCAUCGGAAACUACCUUGCUUGAGGGUUGGAGGGGGGACUGGAAUGCUUGGUGUAGCAGUGAAAUGCGUAGAUAUCAAGCGGAACACCAGUGGCGAAGGCGAGUCCCUGGACAACACCUGACACUGAGGCACGAAAGCUAGGGGAGCAAACAGG